UCUUGGCUAAGGUGUCUUGGCUAAGGUGUCUUGGCUAAGGUGUCUUGGCUAAGGUGUCUUGGCUAAUGUGUCUUGGCUAAGGUGUCUUGGCUAAUGUGUCUUGGCUAAGGUGUCUUGGCUAUGGUGUCUUGGCUAAUGUGUCUUGGCUAAUGUGUCUUGGCUAAGGUGUCUUGGCUAAGGUGUCUUGGCUAAGGUGUCUUGGCUAAGGUGUCUUGGCUAAGAUGUCUUGGCUAAGGUGUCUUGGCUAAUGUGUCUUGGCUAAUGUGUCUUGGCUAAUGUGUCUUGGCUAAUGUGUCUUGGCUAAGGUGUCUUGGCUAAUGUGUCUCGGCUAAUGUGUCUUGGCUAAGGUGUCUUGGCUAAUGUGUCUUGGCUAAGGUGUCUUGGCUAAGGUGUCUUGGCUAAGGUGUCUUGGCGAAUGUGUCUUGGCUAAUGUGUCUUGGCUAAUGUGUCUUGGCUAAUGUGUCUUGGAUAA